rnacentral:rRNA from 1 species
UACAGAGGUCCCGAGCGUUGUUCGGAUUCAUUGGGCGUAAAGGGUGCGUAGGCGGCUGGGUAAGUUUGAUGUGAAAUCCCGGGGCUCAACCCCUGGACUGCAUUGAAUACUGCCCGGCUAGAGUACUGGAGAGGAAACUGGAAUUUACGGUGUAGCAGUGAAAUGCGUAGAGAUCGUAAGGAAGACCAGUGGCGAAGGCGAGUUUCUGGACAGUUACUGACGCUGAGGCACGAAGGCCAGGGGAGCAAACGGG